CACCUUACUUGUUCCCUCCCUCACAUCCAUGAUUGCACCCUCUUCGCACUACUCCCUCUUCCUUUUCCUUUGUUACAUAGUGGACCACACAGAAUCCCUCCUUGACCUCAAAAGUAAGUGAUGAUGAUGGAGAGAAGAAGGAAAGAAGAGAGUGAUUCUGUAUAAGAGGCAGUGGGAAAUGCAGUGUACCCCUUGAACGAGGUCUUUUGAGAGGUAUCGAAGGACUAUCCGGGUUACGCAGAAUUUCCUUUGGUGAACUGCUGCUUUCUCCAGGUCAUGGGUCUUGUUCUAAAUCCAUGUUUCACUGGGUAGAAGAUUUGCUUGAAUACUCAUGUGUAAGACUCAAGGAUUAAAUCCAGAGGUAUAUGAGCAGGUUAGUGAGCAGCUCUGCCUCACGGUGGAAGUCCUUGCGAGCAUUGUCGCUGGCAUCCUUCAGUGUCUGAUGGAGAGAAUGAAAAUGUAAAGGACAGAUGUUCACAGAAGGUAGGGAACAUGUAGGACAGCACUGUAAGGGUAAGAUACGGACAUUCUACAGCACAGAGGAUGAAAAAUACACACAGCCCAGUACAAGCAUCUCAGGACACCAGUCUGAGAAGCAGGACCUGAAAGAAACUUACAUUCAGAGACUGAGUCAUAUUCAAGCCUGGUGGAAGUGGGUAUAAAGACAAAUGAACAGGAAUACGUCUUCUUUGCUAAAACAAGUUUGGUGAGGGAGCAGAAGUCUCCACUAUGUAUAGCCCCUUGCAACUGGUCUGCACAACACGCAGCCCAGGGCCUCUUGGCCUUUAGCAGACCAGAGCCAAUGCCAUGCUAUGUAUGUCUCCAUGGCCAUGGACAGUGAGGCAACAGUCACAGACGUAGCCGGUCUGUCAAAUGGAGGUACAUUUAAAGUAGCAUCAGAGAGUGCCUUGGUUCCACCAUGGACAACAAACCCAUGCAUCUGUCUCUGGGCAAAGCUUCCUUCAGAUAUUUGUUUAAAUAAAGGCUUUGUAAAUUCCCAAUAAAUCCCCUCCCACAUAUCAAUAAAACUUUAUUUUAGAGAAAAAGAAUGAACACAGAUACAUUAAUCAAAAGUUAACUACACAGUAUGUCGGCAUCUAACGAAAAAGAAAGACCUGUACUCCUUUAGGAUAACAACAGCUUCCCACAUGGUCCAGUGUAAUAACUGUCAAAUCCCCUGUAUCAACAGUGACAAAACAACAACAAAGGGUAUCUUUUAAAGCUGUGACCCAUGAGGAAGUUUAGGACAAGUUCAGUCUCUGCCAAUAUGUUUUCACUACCUAAAAGCAUCUUGGUUUUGACUUGAUAAUUACAGUCUGCUGAGCCAAGCAGCUGUCACUAAGGAACAGGAGCUGCCCAAAUGAAGCAAAAUGCAUAGAAGUUUACUGCUGAUUUAUCACACAAUAAUGAACCCAGUUACAGCCUUUUGAGGCAUGGAACUGAAAAACAAAAAGAGAGAGGGAAAAAAAAAGAGGAAAGAGAGGAAGAAAGAGCUUUGAACAUUUUGUUCCAGUCAGUUUCCAAGAAUGAAGAAAACACCAGGCAUGAUUCAAUCAAAGGAUGCCCUCCCACAGACCCGCUGUUGCUGGAGAAGUGGUCACUGGGUAGAUAACUGAGACACGUAUUUCUCAAAGCACACAGACCCAGUCUUUGCUGAGACAUGAACUCUAGCUGAUGGCAGCACAUAUACAUACCAGGGCAAACAAGAACGGCAGAAAUGGCUGAAUGAACUUUAUUCAGAAUCUGACAUACGAUGUCAGUAUAAUGAAUGUGACCUAAAGAAGAGUAUUACACUCACAAGCAGUCUGAGUUGGCAGCUCUGACCAAUUAGUACCAGUUAAUUUUAUGUUGAUAGCUAGUACAUAUAUAUGAUAUUCUGUAAAAGCUUAAUAGCUGUCACCAUAAAACAUAGUUCUCUUUCUCCCCUGUGCUCCUCAUAUUUGGGAAGUACUUUCAGUUGAAUCCUCUUCAGUACUUGUUGUAGACUGAAAUUAAUGCAAAUGUAAUUCUGGCAGUCUCUGCAAGACACCAAAAACGCAUGGAGCAGAAAAGUUCUUUUCUCAACUAGCAUCUCUAUGACUAUUGCUCUUAAAAACCAAAACUGUUUUGUUCCAACUACUGUACACCAUGAUAUUUACAGCAACUGUAGUCUCCACAGAACUAAGAUAGGCAAAAUGUAGGGUUUUUCUCUCCUUCCUUCUGAAGUUCAAGUUCUCUCCCAGAGCAAUAAAUACCAACUGCCUACAUAGUCAUGUACUUGGGAAACAUUUUAAGCAGCAGUAACCAACACAAACAGCUGCUACAUUUAUUGAACUGAAUGGCAGACUUCCUGGUGUGCUUAUCAGUAACGGAAAUAUUAAAAAUUGCCAUAAUUUUUAUUGUUACUAAUGGAACAGCUAGAUUUUUGCCUCAAGUUGCUGGAACUGACAGUUGCAGCUAAGGAAAUGGGUGUUGUCCUUUGGUACACACCCGGUCUGCACUUAGCUAAAACACAGAGAUACACAAAGCAUUAUUAUUAACCCUCCAGACAAGACGUUACCAUGGUACAUUAACAGACCACCUUACAAGCAGUGUUUAUUAAUUACUGCCCCCUGCAAGACCACCACCAGCAGGAGGGCAAGCACAGACCUGCUUUUAAGAGAGACCUGUCUGAAGUCUGUUGCGAAGCUGGAGGGAUAAUUUGCCUUUUGGUACUCCAACAUCCACAAAAUGGCCCUCAAGCAGUUUCCAGGACUCUUAUUUCUAGCCUCCUUCUGGUCAGAAUUUUAAAGAGAAGAGGAAGGGUCAGAAACUAACUAUUGUUUAUAAACAAUGUCAAUACUUGUUGGGUAGUCUUUCCAGUGUUUUCCCACAUACAACAGUCAACUAACUUAUAGGUUAGUGUGUUGUUUUCACCAUUGCUUGUCACAUUUAUUCUUUCCUUGUAACAUUUUCUUCAGUAAGAGAACUGUAAUUCAGCCACAUGUUCCAAGAAUAUAACAGGCUCUAACUGCAAAAAUAACCACUAUUGAUAUUUGCAUUUUUACUUACAGAGAAACUACACAGAGGCAACAUUGUUUGCUUCUGAAACCUAGACACGCACACAUAGAUGAAAAGGUAUUUGUCAUCAGCGCUUUGGCAAACAAUUCUUAUGAGCUUCUGGCAAGUGAAUCCCUUUCUGGUUGUUUCCCCUACCUAGAAAAUAAGGCUAGAAAUGCAUAUCUAGAUGUUUCAUAAUAGUGGUGAGGAUUUUUUUAAAUAUUAAUUACUUUCUAUUUGAACAGUGUCACAAAGCUAUAAAGUGUAGAGUGACGUAUUCGCCAAGGUUCUUAUUUGGUAUAUUUUGAAAACAAUGGCAUAAACUCCUUGCUGCCAUCACUUUCCUAAUUUCAAAUGCUCAAGUGGAAGCUCCUCAGAUAUGUAUUUGGCUUCAAUAAAUAUUUCCUUGUAAUUUUACAGAUUCUGGCCUCCUUAAAGUGUAUUAUAACAUACUCAAAAAAAGAAUAUAGUGUUGUCUUGUAUGUCAUGAAAGUAAUCCUCACUCACAAAAUGUGAGCUGGGAAAGUGACUGGAGUUCUUCUAGAUUAACAGUCACAAAGAGAAGCUGCUAAGAAAACAGUUAAGAAACCCACAGCAUGCCCUAAUUUAAAACACAGACAUACACAGAAAAAAGACUUGCCAUGAACAAAAGAAAACAUGAGGUCUGCUGCUAGCUAAGUACCCUUAUUCUUUGGUUAUUCCAGUCUGUAUGUUGCUAGUUUACAGUAUUUUAUGUACUAUCCUGCAUAAAAAUAAACAGGCCCUCAGGGAUUAACAUACCACAAUGAACACUUCAAAACUACUUGCAGUAGCUCCCUUUCCACACCUUCAUAGAUGUAAACAAAAAAAGAUUUCUGAACAG